UGUUGCUGUCAUUCUCACCAAAAAUAAAAAAAAAAAAAAAGAUGCCGCUUCUUGUUCCAUCUUUGCAGACGCUUGGCAGGAACUUCUGAGCGACUCAAGAGACACAAAAUGUCUGCCCGAAGACGCUUUGGCCAAGCCAAGUGGCAGCACUUCAAGUCAAGUCCUUCACAAGUGCUAUCCUACUUAAUCACAAUGCCAGGACGCCGCAAGUUUUGACAGCCCAUUGGCGGUAGCGCCGCCGUCAGGACCAGCCGGGUACUUCGACGACGUAUUAAAAAUGAAAACUUGUUGCCGCGGCAACUGCCUCGGGCGCAAGACACAUCGGCAAAUGUCAAGCUAGCGGCUGAUGCUGAUGGUUCCCGACGGCCACUUUUUGUCACCGGUUUGUUCACCUAAAGCGACCAUGGCGGACGUGCGACCUGUAUUUCUCCUUUGGACCAGCAGAGGGAACUAUAACACAAACAGGAACUCUGAUGCCGCGUGAACGUCCAGAUGCUGCCUUGCAUUCUUGGAGACCUUGGACCAAGUUUGGAUUGGUUGCACCGAGUCCGCCGGACGUCUCAC